UACACACCGCCCGUCACACCAUGGGAGUGGGUUGUACCAGAAGCAGGUAGUUUAACCGCAAGGGGGACGCUUGCCACGGUAUGAUUCAUGACUGGGGUG
rnacentral:rRNA from 1 species